ACGUACAAACCAUCCAGUGGACAUUCAACACUUGCCUGUUACCACCACCAGGUUAACAGACUGAGACAUUGGUCUGACCCCUGACUGCUGUCACUAGAAGCUGGUCAGGAAAGUAUCCAAUAGCACAGCUCAAGUCUCAAUAUCCUCUCUUCCUACCAGACUGUCUGUCUCUGCUGACCAAGACAUGUUCUGUCUCUCUCUCUAAUUGUAGUGAAGACGUCUUUGCUCUGGAAGACUUCCGGUCUUGUUCCCAGUGAUAGAGUGCCUAGCUACCUAUAGAACUAUGGGCUGGAACACCUUUGACAGACUGCUCCAGAAAUACCACUGACCCCUGUUAUCAGACCUUACAGGCACAUUAAUGUGUAGAGCAUACGCUGAUCUAGGGCUGCAACUAAUGAUUCUUUUGAUAGUCAAUUAAUCUUUGAUUAUUUCUAAGAUUAACUGGAUAAAUAAUUUUAUUUCCUGGAUUUUUAUUAAAAUGUGAUUUUUUAAAAACAGAACUGAUAAAGGCGUAAGGAUUUGCCUUGAUUUAUGAUUUGAAUUUUUAAAUAUUAUUAUUACUUUCAUGACAUAUGCAAAACAGUUCAUUUCCUUCACUUGUAAAACAAUAAAAUAAUGUUUGCCAUAGUAUAAAUUUACUGGUGAAAUCAGAAAUCAUUACAUUUGGCAUUAUCAGGACUAUCAAAUUUCAGACCCUUAGUUUUAUUAUACAUGGUUUAAUAUAGUGCAAUCAUCUGUAAAUGCAGUGCAGAUUCGCUCUCGUGCUGAAAAGCAUCAUCCCAGUGCUCAUUGUAUUACAUGAUGAGAAAUGAUCUAAAACACUUCAAAAACCACCACACCUUGACCUCUGAGACACUGGUGUUAUAUCCAUAAGAGCUGCACAAUUGAUUACAUUGAAACUGAAAUAGAUGUAUGAUGUUGCAAGGUUACUGAAUUGCAAUGCACUGUUUAAUAAAAAUGAUUUCUCUCCUUUUCUUUCAUCGGUUUGAUUGAUGCGGAUACGCACGCAUGCUCGCUUGCUCACUGAAGUUUAACGGAGACCUGCAUGUGGUAAAGACAAACAGUUUACUGAAAUAUGCGGAAAUACGCGCCUGAUUUUGAAUUCAUAACAUGUAUCCAUUGUAAAACAUAGAAAAUAGCAAUAAAAUAUAAGUUAUGUGCUGGAGAGAAACAACUCUUAAAUAAAUCAAACAGAACAAUCACUCUGUCAAUGUACCAGCCACAGCAACCGCUCCAUAUUAAGCUGUUUGCUUAUUAUAAUCUUCUUUUAAACGUUUAUAAAGUGCUCUCAUGUGCUUGACAUCUUGGGUCAUGUUUUUUUCUGCUUCAAUUUGUCUCCGUCAUUUUUCAAACGAGUUUCAUCAUGCAACACAUUUUCACUGGGCUGUAAAGUGGCGUCACUGAUGGAGCUUCUCCAUGCUCACGGCAUAUAUCCAACUAACCGAUAAUGAAAUUCGUUGUCAAUGAUUUUCAUUAUCGAUAAUUAUCGAUUUCAUCAAUUAGUUGUUGCAGCCCUACCCUGAUCCACACCUAACCACACCUGAACAAGACUGGAUCACCAGCUGUGCACACUCACCAAGACGAUGAGGACGUGUCUCCACUUUGCAGUGACCGAUUUGGUCCCUGGUACUUUAUGGAAUAGUGUGCAGUACGGAUGUAUAUAAUUCAGAGUAAGCCUCUCCAAUUGUGUUUUACAAAAGUGUGCUACAAUAAGUGCCAUUGUUGGUGCUGGAAUUUGAAGUGUUUAACCUUGUGCGACCCCGCAUCCUCAUGCGCGUACACUUUGUUUUGUCCUCCUUGUGUAGUUUUUUUAUUUUUUUAUUAUUUGUGCUUUUCCCAAUACACAUUGUUCCAAAGCAGCUUUACAGAAAAUCAGCUGUAAUGUCUAUAACAUCAUAAAACAUGAGUAACCAACACUUCUGGAAACAUAAUAAACAAUUUGAUGAAAGAAAUCUGACUUUCUAUAGCUUGGUAUUACUUAAUUUCAAAACUUAUUCCUGCUAAUUUUUAGGAGAACUAUUUGCUCUUCAAAAAAAUAAAAAUAAUCUGUAUGUUUAUUUGGGGCUACUAGUUACAAAUCAAAAAUGGAAAUGGAAAAUUCACACAGCAGUCACUCUUGGGUUUCAGGAGUUUAAUUUUUUGCUGUGUAUCAACAGUUGGCGAGCCUCCCAUAAAGCUCUCAGCCACACUCUCCUAUACUUCUUUGCCUUGUUUGAAGUCAAGCCAAUGGAAGUGUGUUUGGUGCACAUUAUGUUUGAUUUGUGGCUGUUUUACACCAGAAUGUCUCCAUGGGGAUUAAAAAGUGUAAUAAAAGAAACUCCGUUACAAUAGACAGUUCUAUGUAAAUUUAGUGUUGCACGGUGUAACGGUGCCAUGGAACUACAGUGGUACUCAAGCAUCAAUCACCCAGUUUUUUCAUUAAUUACGGUUGUAUGAACAGUUGUAAUAUUCCCAGAUGGUAGUGGUAUUCGGUUGUGAAAUAGCGUUUGCAGCUCAGACUGCACCUCACUGAAGUAACAGUAUACAUCGGAGCAAAAGUGCUGCCAUAGGGGCUGUUCAAACUGGACGCUAGACAGAGUGCCACAGAGCUGAACAGAUCAUGGGGAUCUCGAGACACCUGCUUUCUAUUUCAUUCGUUGUGCUCCGUCAAGCUUUGUGUAGCGCAGAUGUCACUAAGAUUCGAAAAGCAAUUUAUUUUGCAAAGAGGACUUCACGUGACUGUUACUCAUGAUUCCAGAUUGUUCUUCACCCAUCAAAGUUUCAGCGCUUGAUUAACGGUAAAGAACGUUUUUUUUCCCAUUUGCUCUGUUGUGCUGAGGGGCCGCAGUGCCUUAUUAAAUCUGUGUUUACUGCUUACAUAAAAUACAGCCUAUUGCAACAAAUGUACUUCCUUGGAGAAGAAGUAAUAAAGAGAGCAAGUAAUUCGGGCUUCAACUUGAUCUCUAGCAAGACGUAAUGGCCAAAGACCUAAACCUUAGCCAUCGUCAGCGCUUGGCACCCAUCUUAAAUUUGAAUGCACCAUUUUAACACUCAAAUGUGCAUUUUUAUCUCAAGUUUGACAAAUGUAAAAAAAAAAUUAAAAAAUUGACAGUCUUAGUUUGAAUUUAUUCAAACAUUCUUCUGUAAGCAAAAAGCUAAAAAGAACAAAUGAAAAAAAAAAAAGAUCUUGGCGAAUUAAAUAUGUGGGCUGGGGAAAAGCAUGGAGUGAUGGCACUGGUAUCCUAUUCACAAAAGACAGAAAAGACAGAUGGGGUAACGCAUAAAUAAAUCAAAGAUAUGGGACAGAGAAGAAACAAAUCCUUGAAGCAUAUUGUGUGCAGAUUAAGGUGACUUGUGUAUGUUUACAGACCAAUCAAUGAAAAAGAAGCAGAGAUGAAGACACAGUGGUAAACCAAGCCUGGAUCUUUAGUUGAAUAUUUAAUAACAUCUACAGACCAGAGCAUCAAAACACAUCUGAUCGUACUCAUACCCUGACCUUCAGCGUCUCACUUUAGCUCCCGUGAGAACAGAGCCCCAUUACAUUGCUGACGGGUUAUCUGAAACAUAAGCGAAACAUUAAGGAGCCUCUGAGCGAAGCUGUAGUGGCAGCGGCCCCGGGCGAGUAUCGCCUUUCUCUGCUGCCCGGUACUUUCGGUAAGAAAGAUUUGCAAACUGCAGCGCUCAGCUGUCAUUGAGUUCUAUAACACGUAUCGAGCGGGAUGGCUCAGGUGUCUGUCAACGCGGCAUAUUAAAAUAACAAUAGAUCGCUCCAUAUGUAAACUAAAAGCUUUAUUGACAAACUACAAACUAACACCUGGCAGGAAAAUGGAUCCCGGAGGGAGGAAAUGGCAAGAUGAGGGGGCGUCUGGCCUGCUGCGGGAGGGUAAACUGAGAACCCCGCCGAUCCAAAGACUGCUGUUCAUGCAAGACAGCAAACUGCACAAGAGAGCGAUAAUAACAUCCUCACCAGCAAAAUGUGCUCUGCCAUAUCAAAAUUUCAGAAUGAAAAAUCAUAUUCAGUGGUCACUUAAAAGACUAACCACAGCACAUUCAUAACAAACAAUCUGUGGGAACCACAAAGCAAUGCAGAGAGUGAUUUUACACCACCUGAUCCUUUUAAACAUUACCAAAAAUCAAAAGACAAGCAUAUGAGCAGGUCUAAAAUGACUUAGUCCGGGCAUACACGGUGAGAGAAACACAUAAGUCAGUUUAUCUGAUAAUCGUACAGAUACAGUGGUACACAACACAACGUUACAAAAUUAUUAAACAGAACUUCCUGUUCCGGUUGCUGCACAAGUCUGUGUUUGUAGCUUGCUAGCCUGCUUAGCAUUGCUUAUUCACGUUCAUCAUUUAAUCCUUUGACAUUUUACCGCCUGCUUCGGGUUUUUCCACUUUUGUACUGUUUCAACUGUGUGUAUUUUGCCACGCACACACGUUUCUCUUUUUUCUUUUCUUUUUUUCUGCUUGUCUACAUCUUGCAUCACGACUGCGUGCAUUCGUUUUCUCCACUGUGUUUUACAUGGAUUAUUGCAUCAGUCUCAAACAUCUGCUGAUUAGGAACCACAUCGAUCUCAAACCCUUGCUGCUCAAGAACAACCAUAACAACAACAAACAAUUGCAAGAAAUAGUAUAUAUGAACGAUUUCAGUAAGGAUUUAGGCCCCAUCACACUACAGAGACUCAUAUCCCGAGGUUACCAGAGCCAGCCAGAUCCAGCUCCGUUCCUGAUUGGUGUCGGACUCCACUGCUAUGUGUCACUGAGUGAUGACGACAAACUACAGCCGGUGCUAGCCAGACAUCACUUCAGUUUUUUGACUCCAGAGGAUGAACUUAUGCCAGCUCCAACUGUAAGACAUGGGAUACUUCAUAUGCCACUGCCUGAACCUUGGAUUUAUGAUGGACCCCACCGAACCUCACUGAAAUGACCUGCAGGUUGAACUGCGAUGCACCUCAUUGAUCUCUGCCUGCAUCACCUUUGCCUAUUGAUGGACUACACUCUUGAAAUGGAAUACAUAGACUAUCAUUUAAUUGCCAACAAAAGCCUUCAUCAGCCAACUAACAAAGGACAAUGCAUCUGUGUGAACUUCUGCAGUUAAUCCAGGAUGGACUUCAAAGACAUCAGUCACUAAUCUUAAAUUUAAUAAAAAAUCUUUUUUUAUUUUUUUAAACAUUGGACCUUAACGCUUACUUUACAAAUUUAAAACCAUGACCUGCACUGCACACAAAUAACUAAUAUUGGCAUUAUAUUCAUGCUGUUUAGCCAGAGGGGAACUGACCCCCACAGUUAACCUGGUUUCUCUCAAGGUUAUUUUUCUCCAUUAACUAACAUUUUAUGGAGUUUUGUGUUCCUUGCCACAGUCACCUUCAGCUUGCUCACAUGGGUUCUAAAUACAAUUAUUAUUUAAUUACUUAUUUUUAUGCACAAUUUACAAUCAUAUUUAAUCAAACUACACAAUGAUGACUCUAAGACUUUAUAGUUAUUACAGUUUCAUUUUCUGUUAAUGCAUGAUCUUCUGAAAAGCUGCUUUGAAACAAUGUGUGUUGUGAAAAGCGCUAUACAAAUAAAAAUGACUUGACUAAACAAAGCCAGAGGAGAUUUUAAUUCCUUGUGGCAGUAAUAGAACAAACUGUAAACUAGUUAAUGAAACUCAACCGUGACUGACUCCAGCUACAGUCCUAAACCUAUUUUUAUUUUUUUAAAUCUAAAAUCUAAAAAAAUACUCCUGAUAAAACAUUAAAAACAGAAUGUGACCUUCAAAGCAUACUCCAAUGUUAUUCAUCCCGAAAUAGAACCACCAAAUUAGCAAAUUAACUAUCGAUUAAACAAUUUAAAGAGAGAAACAUUCUCUCAAAAUAAAGAUUGUGACCAUAACUUAGAAAUAAAGAGAGGAAGACAUAAAAAAGCCUGAACACCAAGAGAGCAGAGAAUAUGUAGACACUGUGACCUAAAAAGAGGAUGAUUUUUAGAAGAAUAUCUCAACUCUGUAGGUCCAUACAAUGCAAGUGAAUGGGUGCCAAAAUUUUGUAGCUCCAAAAAGCACAUAAAGUGACUACACACAGUGUUUCAAUUCAUAUCAUCUGAAGCAAUAUGAUAGGUGUGAUCAAUAUUUAUGUCUUUUUUUUUUUUUUUACUCUAAAUCUUCACUUUCACUUUUACAUCUGAAGGUGACAUGAGGUGGACCUUCAGAGCUGAAAUAUUCUUCUAAAAAUAUUCAUUUGUGUUCUGCUGAAGAAAGUCAUACACAUCUGGGAUGGCAUGAGGGUGAGGAAAUGAUGAGAGAAUUUUCAUUUUUGGGUGAACUAUCCCUUUAAACUCAAUGAUACAGAGAAAAUCUCCUUUACACUUGGAAGUUCUCAUGACAGCACAACUGCACUAGCUGGUAAAUAUGUGUCUGCUAUUCACAUUGUUAGACAUGACUAAUUCACUGUAUACAUUUAAUGCAUUUUGUGUAUAUUCUCCUAUUUUGUAUGUAUUUUUUAUUUAAUCAUUCUUAGGAUUUAAAUGUUCUCAUUUUAUUUUUCCUUUUUUAUUACUAGUUUUUGUUGUAUUUAUCAUUGUAUUAUCUUAUCUUUUUUUAAAUAUUUUGUCUGUACAUAACCUUAAAAAGUAAUGGCAAAAACUGUACUCCAAUUGUCAUGCCAAUAAACCUGAAUUGAAUCAAUUGAAAUUAAAUUCUUUAUGUUUUACAAUUAAAACGGCAGACUCCUUUGUUUUGCUAAGACUUAUUUCAUAGCUAACAUUUUAUGCAUCCUAAAUAUUUUCCGGAAAUAAAGUCGCACCUGAAUAUAAGUCGCAUCGGGUCAAAACUGCGUUGUUGAGAGAAAGAAAACCACACAGAUAGGUUGCAUCUGUGUAUAAGUCGCACUGACAGAGGGUUCAUGUGGCAGGCAUUAGUACCCGGGAGCAGUCACCUGACUUCCCUUCAGCAGCAUGUCAGACCCGCUCCAGCAUGAAGAUUACCUCAGCAUUUAGGCAUUAUAUUACGGCAUAUUUUAAUCGGGCGUAUUUGCUCAAAGUAAUUGUGCGUAACAGCUUUUCAUAUUCUGUUUGUGUUUCAUGAAAAAAAAAAAAACUACAAAUAAGCCAAAUCUGUUGUAACUCUAUGCUGUGACCAAUUAAACAGCUUUUAGUCUGUAAAACA